GCCUAAUUAGCAUAGUGGCUAAUGCGUUGCACUUGUAUUCCGUCGUACGACAUGCAAAGACCGUUGGUUCGAGUCCAGCAUUAGGCA